GCCGGUGUAGCUCAAUAGCGGAGCAGGGGCAUCAUAAGCCCAAGGUUACAGGUGCAAGUCCUGUCACCGGCACAA
rnacentral:tRNA from 1 species